rnacentral:rRNA from 1 species
UACGAAGGGUGCAACCGUUGCUCGGAAUCAUUGGGCGUAAAGCGCACGUAGGCGGCUUGCCAAGUCGGACGUGAAAUCCCUCAGCUCAACUGAGGACGUGCAUCCGAAACUGGCGAGCUUGAGUACUGAAGAGGAUCGCGGAAUUCCCGGUGUAGAGGUGAAAUUCGUAGAUAUCGGGAGGAACACCAGUGGCGAAGGCGGUUGCCUGGGGCUUUGCUGACGCUGAUGCGCGAAAGCGUGGGGAGCGAUCCGG